GACAGAGGUGCCAAGCGUUAGGCGGAAUCACUGGGCUUAAAGCGUGUGUAGGCGGAACGUUAAGUGCCUUGUGAAAUCCCACGGCUCAACCGUGGAACUGCUGGGCAUACUGGCGUUCUUGAGCCAGCCAGGGGUCGUCGGAACAAACGGUGGAGCGGUGAAAUGCGUAGAUAUUGUUUGGAACGCCAAAGGCGAAAGCAGACGACUGGGGCUGAGCUGACGCUGAGACACGAAAGCCAGGGGAGCAAACGGG
rnacentral:rRNA from 1 species